rnacentral:miRNA from 1 species
GAAAAGUGCUUUCUUGUUUGGGCCA